UAUGACUCCACCUCUCAUAGAAGCCUGAACCUGGAGGGCACUCCUUCUGUGAAGACACAGUCACCCUGAAGCUUUUCAGAAAGGCUGUCUAUGAACACACCCGUAUGGAGCUUUAGACAUCCAACCUGAUAUUACCAAGAUGACUGGGAGUUUGUGGCUAAUGCCUACAGAAGAAGAGAUGCAUCCCUUCCCAGACAUCUUAUCUGUUGCCCUGGGUAAUGAAGACAUUCAAUUUUUAAUUUUUUAAAAUUAUUAUUAUUUUUUGAGAUGGAGUCUUGCUCUGUCGCCUAUACUAGAGUACAGUGCCGCAGUUUUGGCUCACUCUAACCUCCGUCCCCUGGGUUCAACUGAUUCUCCUGCCUCAGCCUCCCAAGUAGCUGGGACCACAGGUGUGUGCUACCAUGCCUGGCUAAUUUUUAUAAUUUUUAGUAGAGAUGGGGUUUCACCAUGUUGGCCAGACUGGUGUCAAACUCCUGACCUCUAGUGAUCUGCCCGCCUUGGCCUCCCAAAA
rnacentral:lncRNA from 1 species